AUUGAACGCUGGCGGCAGGCUUAACACAUGCAAGUCGAGCGGUAACAGAGAGAAGCUUGCUUCUCUGCUGACGAGCGGCGGACGGGUGAGUAAUGCCUAGGAAUCUGCCUAGUAGUGGGGGAUAACUUGCCGAAAGGUAAGCUAAUACCGCAUACGUCCUACGGGAGAAAGGAGGGGACCUUCGGGCCUUUCGCUAUUAGAUAAGCCUAGGUCGGAUUAGUUAGUUGGUGAGGUAAUGGCUCACCAAGACCGCGAUCCGUAACUGGUCUGAGAGGAUGAUCAGUCACGCUGGAACUGAGACACGGUCCAGACUCCUACGGGAGGCAGCAGUGGGGAAUAUUGGACAAUGGGGGGAACCCUGAUCCGGCCAUGCCGCGUGUGUGAAGAAGGUCUUAGGAUUGUAAAGCACUUUAAGUUGGGAGGAAGAGCAGUUAACUAAUAUUUGACUGUUUUGACGUUACCGACAGAAUAAGCACCGGCUAACUUCGUGCCAGCCGCCGCGUAA
rnacentral:rRNA from 1 species